AAGUCGUAACAAGGUUUCCGUAGGUGAACCUUCAUUAACACGUAUCCAAACGUAAAAAACCUCCCCCGUGAACAUUCAAUCCUGCUCUUGUAACCCGCGUAGUUCGCAAUCUCUGGUAAAUCAUACGGAAAGUAGUUUUGAUUCAGAGACCUCUGGCUACGUGAGAACAUUGGAACAGUUACAAUCGAGCGGUAGUUUCACAGUUGGUGUUUGAAAGUGUCACUGAUUGUGCAAGGAUAGCGCUUCAACGAUUCCUGUAGACCGUACACUCGGGCAGGAGCUAUGCCAAAGGGUCCCCAUGUCCCCUUAUAACCCCACAGUUUAAUGUGAAGCUCAAUGUAAUACAUUGGGUAAAAAAACCGAACAACUGUUAACAAUGGAUAUCUUGGUUCUC
rnacentral:misc_RNA from 1 species